rnacentral:rRNA from 1 species
UACGAAGGGCGCUAGCGUUGUUCGGAAUUACUGGGCGUAAAGAGCGCGUAGGCGGUUGUACUAGUCAGGGGUGAAAUCCCACAGCUUAACUGUGGAACUGCCUUUGAAACUGUGCAGCUGGAGUGUGUGAGGGGAUAGCGGAAUUCCUAAUGUAGAGGUGAAAUUCGUAGAUAUUAGGAGGAACACCGGUGGCGAAGGCGGCUAUCUGGCACACAACUGACGCUGAGGCGCGAAAGCGUGGGGAUCAAACAGG